UGAAGCCGCAGUGAGCCACUGCCCUCCAGCCUGAGUGACAGAGCAAGAUCUUGUCUCCAAAAAGAAAAAAAAAAUGUUGCUGAUAAUUCAAGCAACAUGAAUAUACUGCAUGAUUAAAUUUCUCAACUAGAAGAUAUACAACUAUAGACUAUAUUUCACACAAAGACACUGCACAUCCUAUUACGGAGGAAAAGUGAUGAUUUUUGGUGUUACCAUUUAGACAACAGAGCACAGAGUAUUCAGGGAAAGUUAUGAAUCCGAACAUUAAAGAUCGGAAUGUUCUUGCCAUGUGAAGCAUAAAAAGUAAUGUGAACAUAACCUUCUCUUCUUAUCUAUGAAAUUGUGAUUCCAAUGACAAAGCUUUCUCAAUAUCAUUACCCUCUGGGGGUUAUGCCAUGUCCUAAAGUAAAGAGUCUGUACUUUGAAGUCAGCAUGGCUUUGGAUGACUUUCUUAAUAGAUCUGAACUUCCAAUUUCUCAUCAAUAAAUUAUUAUCUUUCUCAUUGAUUUUAA